rnacentral:misc_RNA from 1 species
GCAUGCCGUCAGUGACCGCCGGAGUGCCGCCAGCAGCAGCGCCAGCAGCGGGAGCUGGUCCUCCUCCCUCCUCUCCCUCUUCCCCCCUCGGCUGGCCGGGGAAGUCAAAAGAGUUGUUGUGGAGGCAUCCUCGGCGGAGCAGGGGAGAGGCGGGCUGGGGGAGUGGAGCACUGCUGUCAUGGUGGGGGAGAGGAGGGAGUUGCAGUGAAUGAAUCAGCAGUCGGAUUAAUAGAGCUACAGGGUUGAAGGAGAGGAGAGAGAA